UAGGAUAAAUAUUAUUUGAAAUAAAUCAAUGUAUAUGGAUUAUAUGAUUUUAUGUGUAGUAUAUGAGUGGGUGUAUAUGUAUGCUCAAGUGUGAACAAAGGGCAAAAUGGACCUAAGUGUGCUACUAAGUGCUGAGAAUUGGCUGGUGUCCCAAAAUGAGAGUCACUCCUUCUUUUCUUCACGUUAUAGGCCAUUGGCCUAGUCCCUCA
rnacentral:lncRNA from 1 species